rnacentral:sRNA from 1 species
UAUUAUAGCCCUAUAUGUGAUACAUUUAUACAUACAUAUCGCAAUACAUUUAUCGCAGUAUCGGAAUAGAUGCAAUGACGCUGAGACGCAGAAUGGGCGCUUACGUUGCUAAGAACGACUGCAGAACAAAAUCUCGAAAAAUUUAUUUAAAAAAAAUGGAUUUAGUACCAGAAAACUCCUCCGUGCAGGCGGCUGGCUGAAAUGGAAUGAAAUGGAGUGCCGCGCUAGAGAACCUGCUGAUUGACGUAUGGCAGGAGAAAAUUGAGGUUAGGACAAAGCUCGAAAAUAUGAUCAAAAAAUACAGGUAGUUAAUAUUUAGUCUGCCAAAUAAAAUAUUGUGAAACCUACUAUUUUUUUUUUAUACUUUGCCGGAUUGAACAAAAUAAAAUUGGACCGAGUGGGGGUGCCCCAUCUGCACUUCGAUAAGGUGAACUAAUUUCGGGGUGCUACCCUAUAAACAACUUGGAGCAGAGCACAUUGGACAACGGCAAUAUUGAGCCUCCGCCAAAGAAACACAAAAAAAGAACGACAUUUCGUGGCUGGCAGAGAUCGCCCAGGAACGUUUCGAAGAACAAAGGGACCACCACGGAAAGAAGGAAGAGCGCUACGUUAGGCAGGAGAAGAUGGUGCAGGACUUAAUCAGCACCCAAACCAAAUUCCAAAACGACUUCUUAGAAGUUUUAAAAAAUAAAAAUAAAUAAGUUUUUAAUUUUUA